rnacentral:rRNA from 1 species
GACGAACUUUGGCGGCGUGCUUAACACAUGCAAGUCGAACGGAAAGGCCCUGCUUUUGUGGGGUGCUCGAGUGGCGAACGGGUGAGUAACACGUGAGUAACCUGCCCUUGACUUUGGGAUAACUUCAGGAAACUGGGGCUAAUACCGGAUAGGAGCUCCUGCUGCAUGGUGGGGGUUGGAAAGUUUCGGCGGUUGGGGAUGGACUCGCGGCUUAUCAGCUUGUUGGUGGGGUAGUGGCUUACCAAGGCUUUGACGGGUAGCCGGCCUGAGAGGGUGACCGGCCACAUUGGGACUGAGAUACGGCCCAGACUCCUACGGGAGGCAGCAGUGGGGAAUAUUGCACAAUGGGCGGAAGCCUGAUGCAGCAACGCCGCGUGCGGGAUGACGGCCUUCGGGUUGUAAACCGCUUUCGCCUGUGACGAAGCGUGAGUGACGGUAAUGGGUAAAGAAGCACCGGCUAACUACGUGCCAGCAGCCGCGGUGAUACGUAGGGUGCGAGCGUUGUCCGGAUUUAUUGGGCGUAAAGGGCUCGUAGGUGGUUGAUCGCGUCGGAAGUGUAAUCUUGGGGCUUAACCCUGAGCGUGCUUUCGAUACGGGUUGACUUGAGGAAGGUAGGGGAGAAUGGAAUUCCUGGUGGAGCGGUGGAAUGCGCAGAUAUCAGGAGGAACACCAGUGGCGAAGGCGGUUCUCUGGGCCUUUCCUGACGCUGAGGAGCGGAAGCGUGGGGAGCGAACAGGCUUAGAUACCCUGGUAGUCCACGCUGUAAACGGUGGGUACUAGGUGUGGGGUCCAUUCCACGGGUUCCGUGCCGUAGCUAACGCUUUAAGUACCCCGCCUGGGGAGUACGGCCGCAAGGCUAAAACUCAAAGGAAUUGACGGGGCCCCGCACAAGCGGCGGAGCAUGCGGAUUAAUUCGAUGCAACGCGUAGAACCUUACCUGGGUUUGACAUGGAUCGGGAGUGCUCAGAGAUGGGUGUGCCUCUUUUGGGGUCGGUUCACAGGUGGUGCAUGCCUGUCGUCAGCUCGUAUCGUGAGAUGUUGGGUUAAGUCCCGCAACGAGCGCAACCCUUGUUCACUGUUGCCAGCACGUUAUGGUGGGGACUCAGUGGAGACCGCCGGGGUCAACUCGGAGGAAGGUGGGGAUGACGUCAAGUCCUCAUGCCCCUUAUGUCCAGGGCUUCACGCAUGCUACAAUGGCUGGUACAGAGAGUGGCGAGCCUGUGAGGGUGAGCGAAUCUCGGAAAGCCGGUCUCAGUUCGGAUUGGGGUCUGCAACUCGACCUCAUGAAGUCGGAGUCGCUAGUAAUCGCAGAUCAGCAACGCUGCGGUGAAUACGUUCCCGGGGCU